UACGUAGGGGGCAAGCGUUAUCCGGAUUUACUGGGUGUAAGGGGAGCGUAGACGGCCUUGCAAGUCUGGUGUGAAAGCCCGGGGCUCAACCCCGGGACUGCAUUGGAAACUGCAUGGCUGGAGUGCAGGAGAGGUAAGCGGAAUUCCUAGUGUAGCGGUGAAAUGCGUAGAUAUUAGGAGGAACACCAGUGGCGAAGGCGGCUUACUGGACUGUAACUGACGUUGAGGCUCGAAAGCGUGGGGAGCAAACGGG
rnacentral:rRNA from 1 species